rnacentral:rRNA from 1 species
UACGUAGGGCGCAAGCGUUAUCCGGAAUUAUUGGGCGUAAAGAGCUCGUAGGCGGUUUGUCGCGUCUGCCGUGAAAGUCCGGGGCUCAACUCCGGAUCUGCGGUGGGUACGGGCAGACUAGAGUGAUGUAGGGGAGACUGGAAUUCCUGGUGUAGCGGUGAAAUGCGCAGAUAUCAGGAGGAACACCGAUGGCGAAGGCACUUUACCUGGGCUAUUACUAACACUCAGAGACGAAAGCUAGGGUAGCAAAUGGG